rnacentral:lncRNA from 1 species
GCUGUGGAUGCUGCAGACACCUGACCAACAGAGAUCAUGAAACUGUCCGUGAGUUUGCUCGCUCUUGCGGUGCUGCUGCUGUGUGUUCACUGGCAGGCCCAGGCUGAGCUAAGCAAGAGGGAGAUCGCGAGAGCGGUGAGAUCGGCUAAAGCAGAUGUGGAUGCAGCGUACGAGUCCUCGAGAAGAGAGUGAGUCCCCACGUGUGUGUGGUGUGUGUGCGU